UUUAGGUAGAGGUUGCGGAAAACAAGAUUAAGCUGAAACAGCACGACAAAGCAUUGAAGUCAGCCCAAAGGGAAUUCCGCCGAAAGAUUUAAUUUGUCAGAUUAAAGUCUUGGGCAUACAGAAAAUAUCUGUAUGACUGACAUUAGUUUACUGCUGAUGUAGAGCUAUCA
rnacentral:ncRNA from 1 species